CAUAUAGUUUUUUUCGAACAUGUGAGUCACAUGUGCCAUUGAAUAGGGAAGCACGUGAGCCACACAUACUGUUAGAGAUCUUCUCCUUUGGCUCAAAUCAGCCUUCUGGUGUGCGCAUGGGGACCGAAUUUACAAAUCCAAUGCAUAUUCCCCUCUAUCGCGCAAACACAAUCCCACCAGGACAAAUUUUGCGAUCUAACACAGAUCAACUUCCUCCGUGCGUGACUCGUUUCUAGUUUUGUGAUCCGGCACUAAUCUGGCUCCUCCAUGUGCGUCCACCUUCGGUUUUGUGAUACCGGCACCUAUCCGAUUCCUCCAUGCACAAGUUGUUUAUGGUUUUGUGAAUCCAUAGCCAAUCUAGUUACUCCACGUGCGAGCCAUUCCGACUGACUGAUGCGAAACCCGGGAUAGCAAGGCAAUCCAAAAUUUCGCAUAUACAUCAAUAAUCAAAAACUCAAAACCGUAAGUAAACCUUCAUUACUUGACCUGCAAUCAAUAAGAGAGUGAAAACCAAUGUAAUUAUGAAAGAGUCAAAGAACUAGAAUUAAG
rnacentral:lncRNA from 1 species